GGGGGCGACGAGGUUUCGACGGGGGAAGCGGUGGCGAGAGGAGCGAGCCGGGGUCGUCACCAGCCCGCAAUACGGUGGCAAAACAAUAAACGCCAACAAGACCGAACUCGCUCUGGCUGCUUAAUUCAGCCAGCAUCCUAACGGUUCUCGCCUGCGGAACCGGCUAGGGUGUCAAACUAGCAGGCUUGCCGGCCGGCCCUUCCCGGGGGCCGGGCCGGGACACACACCGGGAUAGCUUGCGGGCAGCCCGGCUGCGGGCGGCGCGCAAGCGAAAGCCAGUACGCAGCCUGCGCUCGGAGAGCCUCUUGCGGUCGUUCCUUCGGACAGGGGUUCGACUCCCCUCGCCUCCACCA
rnacentral:tmRNA from 2 species